rnacentral:rRNA from 1 species
UACAGAGGGUGCGAGCGUUGUCCGGAAUCACUGGGCGUAAAGGGCGCGUAGGUGGCGCGGGCAGUCAACGGUGAAAGUUCGGGGCUCAACCCUGAAUCGGCCGUCGAUACUCCCGGGCUUGAGCACUGUAGAGGCGGGUGGAAUUCCGGGUGUAGCGGUGGAAUGCGUAGAGAUCCGGAAGAACACCAGUGGCGAAGGCGGCCCGCUGGGCAGUGGCUGACGCUGAGGCGCGACAGCGUGGGGAGCAAACAGG